rnacentral:rRNA from 1 species
UUUCAUUAAUCAAGAACGAAAGUUAGGGGAUCGAAGACGAUCAGAUACCGUCGUAGUCUUAACCAUAAACGAUGCCGACCAGCGAUUAGGAGACGUUGAAUACAAAACACCACCAUCGGCGCGGUCGUCCUUGGCGUCUCGGUCCUUCACGGGGCCGGGGCGCGGGGGCGGCUUAGCCCGGUGGCACCGGUGAAUGACUCCCCUAGCAGCUUGUGAGAA